rnacentral:rRNA from 1 species
UACAGGGGGGGCAAGCGUUGUUCGGAAUUACUGGGCGUAAAGGGUCUGUAGGUGGCCAACUAAGUCAGACGUGAAAGCCCCAGGCUUAACCUGGGAAUUGCGUUUGAUACUGUUAGGCUAGAGUGUGGAAGGGGCUACUGGAAUUCCGUGUGUAGCGGUGAAAUGCGUAGAUAUACGGAGGAACACCAGCGGCGAAGGCGGGUAGCUGGGCCGAACACGUGACGCUGAUGCGCGAAAGCUAGGGUAGCAAACGGG